AGAGUUUGAUCCUGGCUCAGAAUCAACGCUGGCGGCGUGCCUAACACAUGCAAGUCGAACGAGAAAGGGGGAGCAAUCCCCUGAGUACAGUGGCGUACGGGUGAGUAACACGUGACUAACCUGCCUUCGAGUGGGGAAUAACUUCGGGAAACCGAGGCUAAGACCGCAUAACAUCCUUGGGUGAAAUUCCCAUGGAUCAA
rnacentral:rRNA from 1 species